rnacentral:rRNA from 1 species
GAGUUUGAUCAUGGCUCAGAUUGAACGCUGGCGGCAGGCCUAACACAUGCAAGUCGAGCGGAUGAAGAGGGCUUGCUCUCUGAUUCAGCGGCGGACGGGUGAGUAAUGCCUAGGAAUCUGCCUGAUAGUGGGGGACAACGUUUCGAAAGGAACGCUAAUACCGCAUACGUCCUACGGGAGAAAGCAGGGGACCUUCGGGCCUUGCGCUAUCAGAUGAGCCUAGGUCGGAUUAGCUAGUUGGUGAGGUAACGGCUCACCAAGGCGACGAUCCGUAACUGGUCUGAGAGGAUGAUCAGUCACACUGGAACUGAGACACGGUCCAGACUCCUACGGGAGGCAGCAGUGGGGAAUAUUGGACAAUGGGCGAAAGCCUGAUCCAGCCAUGCCGCGUGUGUGAAGAAGGUCUUCGGAUUGUAAAGCACUUUAAGUUGGGAGGAAGGGCAUUAACCUAAUACGUUAGUGUUUUGACGUUACCGACAGAAUAAGCACCGGCUAACUUCGUACCAGCAGCCGCGGUAAUACGAAGGGUGCAAGCGUUAAUCGGAAUUACUGGGCGUAAAGCGCGCGUAGGUGGUUUGUUAAGUUGAAUGUGAAAGCCCCGGGCUCAACCUGGGAACUGCAUCCAAAACUGGCAAGCUAGAGUAUGGCAGAGGGUGGUGGAAUUUCCUGAAUCACUAGUGAAUUCGCGGCCGCCUGCAGGUCGACCAUAUGGGAGAGCUCCCAACGCGUUGGAUGCAUAGCUUGAGUAUUCUAUAGUGUCACCUAAAUAGCUUGGCGUAAUCAUGGUCAUAGCUGUUUCCUGUGUGAAAUUGUUAUCCGCUCACAAUUCCACACAACAUACGAGCCGGAAGCAUAAAGUGUAAAGCCUGGGGGUGCC